GUCCCCGUCUACACACACACACACACACACACACACACUCGGUGCUGGUUGCAGUGUGUUGCCUCAUGCUGCAGACCUGCAGAUCACAGGCAGCUCUUAAUGCUUUAGUCAUGAGUUUGUGUGCAGCCGCUCCGGCGUCGGUUCUCUUUAAUAUUUCAGGCGUUAUCGCACCAUGACGACACUCGGAGCCGAGGAGGUGAAACGCUGAGGAGAACGGGACCCGAGGACGCCGACGGCUGCAGGAGGGAGAAGAAGAACAACUGCGGCCUCGACUCAGGUCGUCUCAGUCAUCAGUCUGUUCAUCUGAGAUGCGUCUGAUGAGAUCAAUUCUUGUUCCCGCUCCGGCUCGAGCAGUGAAAAGAGAAAAUCUCAUUGCGCCCUGCUGAUGUCAUGACGAUUUCCUCCGGUUACAUCAGGAGACGAUCAACACCCCCCCCCCCCUCCGUCUGGAUGAGUUCUGGUUCUGGUCCCGGUUCUCUCCUGGCCCUGCUGUUAGGGUUCUGAUCUGGUUCUGA